CUAGAUGAUCAUAAGGUCCUUUCCAACCCUGACUGCUCUAUGAUUCUAUUAGGAGUGGCACAGAAAUUACCAUUGAGCCUGUCCUUGGGCUCCCUAAUGAAAAGUUGGUUUGUUAUUACAGGAAUUGUAGCAGCACAUAUGUGCACAGGAUGGAGUUAUCAGCUCUGGGGCCCCCAACAUAAGCAGCAUGGCCAGAGAGAGGGGAUUCUCCCCCUCUGAUCUCAUGAGACCCCCCUUUGCAGUCCUGAUCCAGCUUUGGGGCCCCCAACACAGGAGUGAUGUGGAGCUGUUGGAAUGCAGCCACAGGUUUUGAGGAUAUAAAACCCACUGAAAAGCCUCUAGACCAGUCACACAUGGAGCACACUUGACUUGAGAAUCACCAGCAACUGACCAUUAAAGAAGUUUUGCUGAAGGGCUGUGAAAUUCUAGUACUACAUGAGAAAAUAUUAUCGAGAAACUGCCAGUCCAGUGUUUAGUCUGUCCGCCUCUCAACCACGCUUUUGCUGUUCGGAUCUGGAGUACAACUCUUCCUUCUGCGACAACAACAUCCCCUUUUGCAAGUAUUUCCAUGACGAUGGGAUGGAUGUUGAUAAACAUGGGAUAAAUGUCAAUGAAUAUGGUUUAGAAGAGAGUCUGCAGCAGUGUUUGGGUGAGCCAAAUUCUCAUCUGCCUUUAGCAAGUCUAUCACCCAAGAACUUUGUGAGUAAAGUCCAUGUAGUUAAAUAGUA